rnacentral:rRNA from 1 species
AGUGAACGCUGGCGAUAGGCCUAACACAUGCAAGUCGAACGGCAGCACAGUAAGAGCUUGCUCUUACGGGUGGCGAGUGGCGGACGGGUGAGGAAUACAUCGGAAUCUACUUUUUCGUGGGGGAUAACGUAGGGAAACUUACGCUAAUACCGCAUACGACCUACCGGUGAAAGCAGGGGAUCUUCGGACCUUGCGCGAUUGAAUGAGCCGAUGUCGGAUUAGCUAGUUGGCGGGGUAAAGGCCCACCAAGGCGACGAUCCGUAGCUGGUCUGAGAGGAUGAUCAGCCACACUGGAACUGAGACACGGUCCAGACUCCUACGGGAGGCAGCAGUGGGGAAUAUUGGACAAUGGGCGCAAGCCUGAUCCAGCCAUACCGCGUGGGUGAAGAAGGCCUUCGGGUUGUAAAGCCCUUUUGUUGGGAAAGAAAAGCAGCAGGUUAAUACCCCGCUGUUCUGACGGUACCCAAAGAAUAAGCACCGGCUAACUUCGUG